GAGAGCCGUGUGCGGGAAAACCGUACGCACGGUUCGGAGGGAGGGCAGGGCAACCGAAUGAAACUACUUUUCAAU
rnacentral:ncRNA from 1 species